rnacentral:rRNA from 1 species
CAAUAGCGUAUAUUUAAGUUGUUGCAGUUAAAAAGCUCGUAGUUGGAUUUCGGAUGGGACUUGCCGGUCCGUCGUUUCGAUGUGCACUGGCCAGUCCUAUCUUGUUGUCGGGGACUAGCUCCUGGGCUUCACUGUCCGGGACUAGGAGCUGUCGAGGUUACUUUGAGUAAAUUAGAGUGUUCAAAGCAAGCCUACGCUCUGAAUACAUUAGCAUGGAAUAACACGAUAGGACUCUGGCUUAUCUUGUUGGUCUGUGAGACCAGAGUAAUGAUUAAGAGGGACAGUCGGGGGCAUUCGUAUUUCAUUGUCAGAGGUGAAAUUCUUGGAUUUAUGAAAGACGAACUUCUGCGAAAGCAUUUGUCAAGGAUGUUUUCAUUAA